rnacentral:rRNA from 1 species
GACGAACGCUGGCGGCGUGCUUAACACAUGCAAGUCGAACGAGUGCGGAACGGGUGAGUAAUACGUGAGUAACCUGCCCUCUUGUUGGGAUAAGCCUUGGAAACGGGGACUAAUACCGGAUAAAGGGGGAUGGGCUUGCGGCCUAUGAGCUUGUUGGUGGGGUGAGGGCCUACCGAGGCGGUGACGGGUAGCCGGCCUGAGAGGGUGACCUGCCACAUUGGGACGGAGCGCAGGCCCAGACUCCUACGUGAGGCAGAAGUGUGCGCUAUGGGACAAUGGGUGAGAGCCUGAUGCAGCGACGACGAGUGGGGGAUGAAGGCUUUCGAGUUGUAACCCUCUUUCGCUAGCGAUCCGUUACCCGCAGAAGAAGCACCGGCUAACUCCGUGCCAGCAGCCGCGGUAAUUC